rnacentral:rRNA from 1 species
AUUGAACGCUGGCGGCAGGCUUAACACAUGCAAGUCGAGCGGGGAAGGGUAGCUUGCUACCUAACCUAGCGGCGGACGGAUGAGUAAUGCUUAGGAAUCUGCCUAUUAGUGGGGGACAACAUUCCGAAAGGAAUGCUAAUACCGCAUACGCCCUACGGGGGAAAGCAGGGGAUCUUCGGACCUUGCGCUAAUAGAUGAGCCUAAGUCAGAUUAGCUAGUUGGUGGGGUAAAGGCCUACCAAGGCGACGAUCUGUAGCGGGUCUGAGAGGAUGAUCAGCCACACUGGGACUGAGACACGGCCCAGACUCCUACGGGAGGCAGCAGUGGGGAAUAUUGGACAAUGGGCGCAAGCCUGAUCCAGCCAUGCCGCGUGUGUGAAGAAGGCCUUUUGGUUGUAAAGCACUUUAAGCGAGGAGGAGGCUACUUGGAUUAAUACUCUAGGAUAGUGGACGUUACUCGCAGAAUAAGCACCGGCUAACUCUGUGCCAGCCGCCGCGGUAAGAC